ACACUGGCUGAUGAUGAAAUACAGUCAGCUGGCAUGGUGACACUGCCAGUAUUAACCUGCAGGGCUGGACUGGGACAAAAAAAUCGGGCAUUUUGACUACAGACCGGCCCACCAGGUAUUAAAGCCAUAAAGCCUUUGAAUGAAAACAAACGCUGUUGUGACAGUGAUGUACAGUCUUGUUGGUAUAUGAUUGAUUUCUAUACAUUUUACGUCAGAUAAAAACUUUGUUCGCAAGAUUCAGAUAAUUAUUUAAUAAAAACUAGAUAUUUUAAAUGAGAAUAAGAAAGAAAAGUAUUUUUUGUGCCCCCUUUUCCCUGUUAAUGCCCUACCUGCCCCCCUGGCAUAACUUUGCUAGAUCCGCCCCUGCACAGUUACCAGCUGUCAGCUACUUAGAAAAGGAUCCUGGUGUUAUUUGUCUCUCAGAAACAGCUCAUAACUUCCCUUCAACUAGUGACGCAGCUGCCCCUCUGUUGGUCUUCCUUGGUCUCUUGUGUUCUGGGGGCCUCUGGACGUCUGGAGUUUUGAUCUCCUCCAUGCCUGCUUCAUGCCCUGGAGGACGGGGCAGUGGCCCCCCACACCCUCUAGCAGAUCAUUACAUGAAGGAACCUUUAAAAAAAAAACAAAAAAAAACAAGCACGUUCAUGCUCACAGGUGCACACACAGGUGAUCCAGGUGAUCGAUAUAUGUAUUUUUUUUGUCUGCUUAUUCUGUUGGUUUUUGGUUUUUUGCCCUUUUUCCCCGUCCCUCUUCUCCGCUGUUUUUCUUUCCCUCUUUCUUUCUCCCCUUUCUUUCCCCCAGUUAAGUCUGUCCCGUAUUCAGCAAGUGAAAAUAAAAUAAACAAUAAAAGGUGAAUCAAAUGGACCAUUACGGCAAGGCUGGGAUGGUCCAUUUGGUAAAGUAAAUCCGUUGGGCAUCUUUCUUCGCCUUUAGACAAUAAUUCUGAUGGCAAAAGAACCAAACGGGACAGGUAAUAAAAAAAAAAGAAAAAAAAGAAAAGGAUCCUGGUGUUAUUUGUCUCUCAGAAACAGUUCAUAACUUCCCUUCAACUCAUUCAUGUCACCUAACAGGUAAACCUGUUUCUCCAUCACCUGUUCAGCUCUGAUGAUUCAGUAAGGACAUCUCCUGGUUUCAUCUGCAUGUUUCCCUCUCAUCACAUAUCCAAACCGAUAUCAUGACCAGCAGCUUUCACAGCUGUGGCUCCAGCAAACAUCAGCUGAUACUAGAAAUUAAUAUUAAAUAAAUUCUAACAACAGCUGAUCAAGCUUAAAGGUGCUGCUG
ensembl:lncRNA